UACGUAGGGUGCGAGCGUUUGUCCGGAAUUAUUGGGCGUAAAGAGCUCGUAGGCGGUGUGUCACGUCGGCCGUGAAAAACCUGCAGCUUAACUGUGGGCGUGCGGUCGAUACGGGGCAUCACUGGAGUUCGGCAGGGGGAGACUGGAAUUCCUGGUGUAGCGGUGAAAUGCGCAGAUAUCAGGAGGAACACCGGUGGCGAAGGCGGGUCUCUGGGCCGAUACUGACGCUGAGGAGCGAAAGCGUGGGGAGCGAACAGGG
rnacentral:rRNA from 1 species